AUGGAAUAAAUACAAUAUAUAUACACAAGGUCUUUUUAUAUCUCUGCAAUUCUCUCAAUUGGUAAUCGCUCAGCUCGUUAAAGUAUCGUGACAACUUGUCAGCACGACAAUUUGUUGUCAAAGCUGUACAAACUUAGAGGAGAGUUCAUGCGCACGUGUUCAUUCACAAACAUAUGUACGGAUAUAGAAAAUUCACUCCACGAAGGGCAUUGUGGAAUUCUUUCUCGAGCUUUCGAGACGAUACUAUGUUAUUCUGGUGUGAGAAAUGGACGCGUUAGAACUAAAUGAGAUUCCAGUUUAGAAAGGAACGCCACAGUGCAAAACCACGACCUUACAUGUUCGUCCCAAGAAUACCAAAUUGGUACGAGUACGACGACGACGAUGACAUUGUCCGCGAUAAUUUCAAACUUG